UUAGUUUUAGUAAAUGAUAUCCGGAUGAUGUUUGGUUCCGGCUAGGUGAUGGAGAAUCACUGCUGAAGGUGAUAUUGCAUGCUAAAGGUGAUAUUGCAGGCACCAUCAUGGCCACAUCGAAGGUCCUAAGCUCUAGGUGAUGGAGAAUCACUGCUGAAGGUGAUAUUGCAUGCUAAAGGUGAUAUUGCAGGCACCAUCAUGGCCACAUCGAAGGUCCUAAGCUCUAGGUGAGAAGAACGCAAAUAACUCUACACUGCAGGAUAAGAUGGAACAACAAGCU